AUGUGUAUAGUAAAGGAAAGAGGUGGUAUGGGUUUUCUUGAUGUGCACAAUUUUAAUUUUGCCAUGAUAGCCCAGUGUUGGAGAUUGAUUGAAAACUAUGAUUCCUUGUGUGCAAGGGUAUUGAGAGCAAGAUACUACCCAACAUGAGAUAUUUUGAACUGUGAACUAAAAAGGGGGUCAUCAUAUGUUUGGCAAAGUAUAUGGGCAGGGAUACAAACUUUCAAGAAAUGUUGCAUUUGA
rnacentral:rRNA from 1 species